rnacentral:rRNA from 1 species
UGGGAAUUUUGGACAAUGGGCGAAAGCCUGAUCCAGCAAUGCCGCGUGUGUGAAGAAGGCCUUCGGGUUGUAAAGCACUUUUGUCCGGAAAGAAAUCCUUGGCUCUAAUACAGUCGGGGGAUGACGGUACCGGAAGAAUAAGCACCGGCUAACUACGUGCCAGCAGCCGCGGUAAUACGUAGGGUGCAAGCGUUAAUCGGAAUUACUGGGCGUAAAGCGUGCGCAGGCGGUUUGCUAAGACCGAUGUGAAAUCCCCGGGCUCAACCUGGGAACUGCAUUGGUGACUGGCAGGCUAGAGUAUGGCAGAGGGGGGUAGAAUUCCACGUGUAGCAGUGAAAUGCGUAGAGAUGUGGAGGAAUACCGAUGGCGAAGGCAGCCCCCUGGGCCAAUACUGACGCUCAUGCACGAAAGCGUGGGGAGCAAAACAGGAUUAGAUACCCCUGGUAGUCCACGCCCUAAAACGAUGUCAACUAGUUGUUGGGGAUUCAUUUCCUUAGUAACGUAGCUAACGCGUGAAGUUGACCGCCUGGGGAGUACGGUCGCAAGAUUAAAACUCAAAGGAAUUGACGGGGUCAUAGCUGUUUCCU